CAUUCCUACGGGAGGCAGCAGUGGGGAAUAUUGCACAAUGGGGGAAACCCUGAUGCAGCGACGCCGCGUGAGUGAAGAAGUAUUUCGGUAUGUAAAGCUCUGUCAGCAGGGAAGAAAAUGACGGUACCUGACCAAGAAGCCCCGGCUAACUACGUGCCAGCAGCCGCGGUAAUACGUAGGGGGCAAGCGUUAUCCGGAUUUACUGGGUGUAAAGGGAGCGUAGACGGCAGGGCAGGUCUGGAGUG
rnacentral:rRNA from 1 species